CAUAAAAGCUUUCAGUACUUUCCUUCUGCAACCUUUUUUCUCUUUCUCUUUAAGUUUUUCCUUGCUGCUUGAAUUUGUUCAUCUUCUUUUCGUAGCAUCACCUUCGUAUGGGGAAAUCUAAGAAGAAAUUUCCUCGCUGAUUGAAGAAAAUGUAGAAUUUGUUUCGUUUAUCUCCAUCUCAUACUGUUCACUGUGAGUUCUAUCUCUUACCACCGUUCGAUCAUCUCCGUCUCACUGUUUUUCGUUGUUGUUCUUCCUCUCACCAUCGUUCGAGUAGUUGCAUCUAUUGUUUGCUCCUAUAAUCGAGCUCAUGGGGUCGUUCAAUCUAUUCACGGUGUCGGCUGAUGUUCAAGGUUUCAAUCUUCCACUCCAAAUCUGAAUUUGGUUGGGGCCUUUGAUUCAAUUAAUCAAAACAGGACAAUGAGACCUGAUAAAGGAUGGAUGUUGCGAAGAAAAGAUCAAUUUGGUAGUAUAACUGAGGAAUUUAGAAAUGGCGUUGAUGGCUUCAUUCAAGUAGCUAAAAGAGAUCCAAAAUUUGCUUUGACGUGUUUUAUCCCUCUCUAAUUAGCUACCUAUAUUUAGCUACGGAAAAUUCCCUAGCAAAUUGAUAGUUAAUCUGUCGCAAAAUGGUUUAGCUACGGAUUAGCUACGGAUCAGCUACGAAAUUGUCCGUAGCUAAUAUAUAAAAUUUUGUAGUGGAAUGCAUCUGAUGCUCCAUUGCAGCAAUCAGAAGAUGGAUUAGCUACAUUAUUUAUCAAAUACAAUCCACAAUAGCUCAAUAGCUUUUCAUCCCCAUUGCAUAUUGCAGGAAUUUGACCAUAACUCAAUCUUGUUACUGCCAAACCAUACACCAUAACAAACAUCAAAACACCAAAAACUUUUUUCUCUCCCAUCUUCUCUUCAAUCUCUAUGUCAAUGCCACUUUUCUUUUCAAUUUUAUUUUGAUUUCAUUUACCAUUUCUACCAUACCAUUGCUUAUAUAUACACUUGUAGUAUUUAUUUCUAGAAUAACUUCCCAUCCUUCUGCAAUCUUUUUCAAUCUUUUCCAUAAAAAGUAUUAAAUAUCAAUAUCAAAUAUAAUAUAGAUUAUUGUAUUAUUUGGAGUUAAUGUGAAUAUCAAUCAUAAUCAAUUGGACAACAUUAUAUGCUAUAAAAAAUAACAUCUCCUAAAACUAUCUUUGUAAGUUAUCGAUAAUAUUUAAUUAUAUUUUAUUCUAAUAAGUUAUUAACUUCGAGAGUGGAGGAAGUGAUUUUUUUAGUUAUUAUACAUGAUAAUUCAUAAGAAGAGGAACUUUUUCUUCUCUUUUAUCGGUUUUUGUACUCAUUUUUCUAUCAUGUAAUAAAAUAAGAACUAUGUCCGUCUGUAUUUAUUGUUUCUUAGAAAAAAAAAUUAUCGACUUUUAUAAAUUUUUCAAUAAAUAAGGAUUUCAAAUCAAAUCAUAUUGAGAUUUGAUCAGCUCAAAACUCAAACUAAACAAAACAUGAUAAUACAUACAAAAAUUACCAUACG